CCUACGGGCGGCAGCAGUGGGGAAUAUUGGACAAUGGGGGCAACCCUGAUCCAGCCAUGCCGCGUGUGUGAAGAAGGCCCUCGGGUUGUAAAGCACUUUCAGUGAGGAAGAACGCCUGGUGGUUAAUACCCAUCAGGAAAGACAUCACUCACAGAAGAAGCACCGGCUAACUCCGUGCCAGCAGCCGCGGUAAUACGGAGGGUGCGAGCGUUAAUCGGAAUUACUGGGCGUAAAGCGCGCGUAGGUGGCUUGAUAAGCCGGUUGUGAAAGCCCCGGGCUCAACCUGGGAACGGCAUCCGGAACUGUCAAGCUAGAGUGCAGGAGAGGAAGGUAGAAUUCCCGGUGUAGCGGUGAAAUGCGUAGAGAUCGGGAGGAAUACCAGUGGCGAAGGCGGCCUUCUGGACUGACACUGACACUGAGGUGCGAAAGCGUGGGUAGCAAACAGGAUUAGAUACCCUGGUAGUA
rnacentral:rRNA from 1 species